UCAUUGCGCACCAUAAAGGCAGGCGCUCACCACUCGCCCUCCUCUGCCUCGGUUUCUCCCGCCAUGCUCUCCGUCUUCCUCCCCUCCUCCUAAAUUCCAAGCGUACUGUUGCCUUACCCCAUUACUCAAUGACAUUUUUAUGUGUCCCAAAUUUCCACGAAAUCCCUUUGUUAUUUUUCUUCGAAAUCUAUUGAAUUUCUCUCAAUCCAAGACCCAUUUGUUCUGCGCAGCAUGUCCAUCUGCAGGAUACAAGGCCCUAUUCAGUUCAUAGAGACUAUUAUCGGAUGAUGGGUUCACAGGAUCCUGUUCUGGCGGCUGACAAGGCUAAUGUAACGGAGGCCUCAGUGCGCGGGGCUUGUCCUAGAAAAAUUAGUUAGAGAAUCCACAAGGCUGAGAGUGAGAAAUAUAAGCGUGAGCAUUUUAGCAAGCUUUUUCUUGAGCUGGCUGAUGCUCUCAGUAAGUUGCCUUUUAUUUAUGAGAAGUUCACCAUGUCUCUCUUAAUGUAAUCAAUUUUUGAUAUUGUUG